AGUGAACGCUGGCGGUAGGCCUAACACAUGCAAGUCGAACGGCAGCACAGUAAGAGCUUGCUCUUACGGGUGGCGAGUGGCGGACGGGUCAGGAAUACAUCGGAACCUACUUUUUCGUGGGGGUUAACGUAGGGAAACUUAAGCCAAUACAGCAUACGACCUACGGGUGAAAGCAGGGGAUCUUCGGACCUUGCGCGAUUGAAUGAGCCGAUGACGGAUUUGCUAGUUGGGGGGGUAAAGGCCCACCAAGGCGACGAUCCGUAGCUGGUCUGAGAGGAUGGUCGGCCACACUGGAACUGAGACACGGUCCAGACGCCUACGGGAGGGAGCAGUGGGGAAUAUUGGACAAUGGGCGCGAGCCUGAUCCAGCCGGACCGCGUGGGUGAAGAAGGCGUUCGGGUUGUAAAGCCCUUUUGUUGGGAAAGAAAAGCAGCAGGUUAAGACCCCGCUGUUCUGACGGUACCCAAAGAAUAAGCACCGGCUAACUUCGUG
rnacentral:rRNA from 1 species